CUGGUAUAAGAAGUUUAUCAUGAAAUUUGGAGUAAUGACAUCAGAUGCCAUCACAUUGUACUUCGACAAUAAUGGUGCAUAGCACUUGCUAAGGAGUCCAGGUCUCAUCAAAAGUCCAAACACAUCGAGCGGCGAUUUCAUAUAAUACGUGAUUACCUCGAGAAGAAAUAUAUCGAGAUACGAAGAAUAGACUCCACGGAUAAUAUG
rnacentral:lncRNA from 1 species